rnacentral:rRNA from 1 species
AUGGAUACUCUGUUUAAGGCUGCUCUCUUGAGUGUUCUUGGUGAGAAUAUAGUUGAUGCUUAUGCGUCAAUUGAUAAUGGAAAAGAUAUGUGGGAUGCACUCGAGGCCAAGUUUGGGGUCUCAAAUGCUGGCAGUGAGCUGUACAUCAUGGAGCAAUUCUAUGAUUACAGGGUCAUAUUGGCGAGAGAACUUGAGCACUUCAGUUGUAUGCUACCAGAAAAGUUUGUUGCCGGAGGUAUCAUCACUAAGCUUCCUCCUUCAUGGAGGAACUUUGCUACCUUGCUGAAGCAUAAGAGGCAGGAGUUUUCCAUCCCGAAUCUCAUUGGCACUCUUGAUGUGGAAGAAAAGGCGAGAGCAAAGGACACACGUGCUCGAGGUAUUGAGGGAGGAUCUAGUGCCAAUGUGGUACAGAAGCAGAACUUCCAGCCCCACAAGUUCAAGAACAAGGGCAAGUUUGAUGGAAAAGCAAAGUUUGAUGGGAAGAACAAGGCUGUGCAACACACGAACUUCAAGAAGAAGAAUAGCAAGAAGAAAGGUGCUUGUCAUGUGUGUGGGGAUCCUGAUCAUUGGGCUCCUAGUUUCCCUAAUCGCUAUGACAAGCGUCAUCCUGGGAAAGGUGGCAAGACCGCUAAUGUUGUCAUUGGAGACACUGACAUGAAGGAUGCUGGGUAUGGUAUAUUCCCACUAUUCUUUCAGUAUGUCAUUCUCCUGACUGGUUGA